CGUCUUAGGUCAAGGUUGUACAUAUCGUCCGGACUAGAGCCUCCUGCUAUUCCCACCACAUGCGCCACCAUUCUCUACUUGAGACUUGAUGACCAUUGGAAUGUCAUGAUGAGCGACCACUACAAAGUUGACCACAUUCUUACUUUACCAAUCAAUAUUCGUCAAACAUAUUGUAUGAAUUUGUGUAACUCGACGUUCUAGCACAUGGGUGGUGUAGUAACUGGGAUACACUCAACAGUUGCCACCUGCGGCCGAUCCUUCAAUGAUCCAUCUGGUCUUAUGGUCACGGACCUCCUGCCAUUCCCACGCAUGAGUUACCCUCCUCUAUAUGAGGAGGAGUAAUAACAGAAUAUCAGGACGAACGACAGCAGAGACUGACCACAAUUCAUACUUAAUUAAUCAAAACCAACCACCGAGACAUUCCUCCUUGGAAUUCUCAAUUCAGAUCCAUAUUACAAAUAUCAUUUCGUAUUUUCAUAUUUCAUUGGAAUUAUCACAACAUACUGUUACACCAUCACACUUCAUUGUUCAUAACAUCUUUAAUUAAAAUUACACAUUCAAUAAAGGCCCUCCCACCAUUGAACAAGACCUAGAAGAAGAGUUUACAGAAUCUCUGUAUAAUGUUGAAGGGAGAACAUUCCCUAUAUUUGAAUAUGACCGAACGGUCAAGUAACAGGAUAACUCCAGGUGGAGUCGAAAACCGUCUAAGACCGAACACAAUUGAGAUUGAGCCAAAUACUAAAGGCGUAACAUACUACUUAUACCUUUGGCCGAACACUUUGGAGCUUUGGCCGAACACUUUGGAGCUUUGGCCGAGCACUUAGAGCUUAGGCCGAACACUUGGAGCUUUGGCCGAGCACUUAGAGCUUAGGCCGAACACUUGGAGCUUUGGCCNUUGGAGCUUUGGCCGAGCACUUAGAGCUUAGGCCGAACACUUGGAGCUUUGGCCGAGCACUUAGAGCUUAGGCCGAACACUUGGAGCUUUGGCCAAGCACUUAGAUUACAAGACUGAGUUCUCUUCAAGAAACCGAGUGUUAGUAUGAGACUGAACACUCUUUAAUAAGUCGAGUGUCAAUGCAAGACCGACUACUCUUUGCAUAACCGAGUGUCCGUACAAGACCGAACACUCUUUAAGAAGCCAAGUGCCAAUAUAAUACCGAACACUCCAUACUGGUAAUUCAUAUAUGUAAG
rnacentral:lncRNA from 1 species